CUUUGUUACUCAGGAAGGAAAACUGCGGUUCAUUGUUUUCUGAAUUGAGCGUGGUGGAGAUCAAGAAGGCGUCCGCGGCUCCGAGAGAGUGUGUGUCUACCGUGGUCUGCUACCUUAAGUGGUUCAUUGUUUUCUGAAUUGAGCGUGGUGGAGAUCAAGAAGGCGUCCGCGGCUCCGAGAGAGUGUGUGUCUACCGUGGUCUGCUACCAUUGAUGUCGA